GUUUGACCUCGGAUCAGGUA
rnacentral:rRNA from 1 species